ACUUCGAUUUAUUUGCUGCAUGGUCUGCCAGUGAUAUGAGCAGUUUUAUGCAUGGGAUAAAAUAAUGUUGGGCUAUAAUAAACUGAAUUGAAAUAACUAUUUUAUCUCUGCUGCAUGGUGUGGACACUA
ensembl:snoRNA